CUGAAACUAAUUUUUUUUCAUGGAUCACAUAGGCCUAUUAAAUAAUAGCUGUUUUGCCUGGCUCAGUCCCAAUGCAGUGGGAUAUCCCAGGGCUGUUGUGGGACACCCUUUGCGGAUGGCACACAUGCGCAGACUUACAGUGACCCCCAGCUCUGUGGGUUGGCAUGUUCUCAGCCUGGCAGCUGGUGCAGAAAGCGUUCCUGAGGUCAGCCGGGGAGACCUCCCUGUUUUGGGGGCAGGGAGUUCAGCGAGGGUGCCCCGGUCUCCUGGGUCUCUGUUUGUUUGAAUCCGCCUCUCCUCCAAGCCGGAGGGAGAAAGAGACAGGCAGCAGAAUGGAGUGUCCUUUGAGCGGAGGCCAAGAGGAACAGGUGGCCCCGAAGGCAGAGAGCAGCAAGCUCAGAGCGGCCCGAGUCCUGGGGUAAAAGAUACCUCUGGCUCCCUACACUUAAUCCAGCUCCGUUACGCCGAGUAUAGAAGCGGGACCGCUCUCGUCCUACUUUUAAUACACCAUCGACAGCCCUUACACAACAGGGACGAAGCUCCGCUGAAUCCAAAGGAUCUUGGACUUGGAAGUGUCCCUUGGGCCCAUCACCCUGCCGAGGAGGUCCGUUCAGGAGAUCAAGCAAUGGAGACAGAUGGAGAUUCUUGCAAUGCUCAUGAUACUGGAGGAGGAGGAGAGCCCACGGCUCCGGCGUUGGUCUCCACGGAGCUGCAAGAAGAGACAAAAGGAAACAACAAAGAGACAGGAGAAGGUGAGACAAAAGGUGUCCCAGGUGAGACAAAAGCAGAGGAAGAAAGUCAGAAACACCCUGAGGCAUCAAGCCUGACUGCGGCUGGAGGAGGAGAAGCAACUCCAGGAGACGCAAAGGCAACGGAGGUGAACCAAAACCACCCUGAGUCUGGAGCAGAAGGAAACACGGGAGAUGCAAAGGCAAUGGAGGAGAACAAAGGUCUUACUAAGGAAACAAGCCAGACUGUGGAUGGAGGAGGAAGCCAAGGAGAUGCAAAGGCCGUGGAGGAGAACCAAAGCCAUCCUGUGGAAUCAAGCCAGAUAGUGACUGAAGGAACCCAAGGAGAUGUAAAAGCAACAGAGGAGAACCAAAGCCACCUUGAAGGCAGCCAACAGAAGCACCUGCACCUUCAGCCGAGCUUCAGCUGCCCAGCUACUAUGCACAGCUUGGAAGAUAUUCCCGAGGAGGCUUUGGGCACCCAAGGGGAGCAGAAGCCAAAAGAAGAACCGAAGGCUGGAGAAUCCAAGGACGUGGAGGCUCUUGUCCUGCCGCAGGAUCCGGCUGGAGGGCAACCACUUCCAGCCAAAACGGAGGCAGAAAGGACCUUGGCCCGAGAGCCUGACGCUGCCCCAGAGAAUGCUGUGGCCGAGAUCCCAGUUGGACAGGUUCCUUCCGAAAACAAGGCGGACGUGGCCACCCCGGCAGAGGUCGGCGCUCCUCCCAUCAUGCCAGCCUCUCCAACCGGACCCUACCUCACGGCGGACUUUGGCAAAGAGGACCCGACUAUGAUCUUGGGUAAGGCCACCGAGGCCUCGGGCAUCCUCGGUCUGCAGCCACUUUGGCCGGAGCAAGUGGGAGAAGUGGGA
rnacentral:lncRNA from 11 species